rnacentral:ribozyme from 1 species
UGCCCAGCAACUCCUAUCCCUGCCUCCUCGUGGUACUGGCCGGGGUGCGAGAAACCUUGGGGAAGA